rnacentral:rRNA from 1 species
CGUAGGUGGCGAGCGUUAUCCGGAUUUAUUGGGCGUAAAGGGUGCGUAGGCGGCGAAUUAAGUAUAAAUUGAAAGCGUGGGGCUCAACUCCAUGAUGGUUUAGAAACUGGUUUGCUGGAGUGCAGGAGAGGUUAGCGGAAUUCCAUGUGUAGCGGUAAAAUGCGUAGAUAUAUGGAGGAACACCAGUGGCGAAGGCGGCUAACUGGCCUGUAACUGACGCUGAGGCACGAAAGCGUGGGGAGCGAAUAGGAUUAGAUACCCCGGUAGUCCCU